AUAGUAAUUCCGGACUACUAAAUAGUUUUAGUGAGAGUUUCCGGACGACGGACAAUGCGGCGGUCUUAACGCCGCACAGAUAAAGCCGAGACAGACGAUGUCCUCGGGUAGACGGCUGUAUUGAUGGCCGAUACGUACAUUGACAGUUAUCACAGGUUUAGGAGCCUGUAUCGGUUUUAUACGAUCAAAAAGAGACUGUAGUUUAUAGUAUACAUUGUAUAAGUACUUGUAAGCACAAUUGCUGUACAACAAUGUGUUGUCUCAUUUACAUGGUCAUCUGAAGGAAAAAUAAAAAAUAAAGCUUUUGUAUGAAG
rnacentral:misc_RNA from 1 species